GGCCGACUAGCUCAGUUGGUUAGAGCGUCGUGCUAAUAAGAGCUAUGAUCCUAUUAACGCGAAGGUCUUGGGUUCGAUCCCCACGUUGGCCA